rnacentral:lncRNA from 1 species
AUGUGUUAUUUUAUGUCGAUUGUAUUUUUAACUAUUAUUUUAAGAAUACUAUACUUGAUGUCCAGAAUUGGUAGCGAAAAGGGUAGGAAUGGGCCUGAGAAACUGUACCAGUAUUUAGGCCCUAAAUAUUUAGACUCUAAAUACUUAGGAAAACUGAGGAAUUAUCACAUGGAUUAUGGUACUAAAAAGGGCUCUAUUAUCCUGUUGAAUUAUUUGUCCCAGUCUCUUUCCUCUUCCUUAUCUCACUGCACUAUUCCAUCUUCUAUUGCUCAACUUCAUAGAAACAAAGCGGUAGUAAAUGUCUCUCUUUUCUCAACUUCCCAGAUUAAUUUAACAUUUAUAUUUUAAAAAUAUUCUUAAUGAAUUGUGAAUAGCAUAUUUAAAAUCAGCAAGAAAUGAGGCAGUUAGGCCACUUACAUGGCUAUAAUGUAGAGGAAUAUGAUGAGAGCCUUUCCAAGGAAGGAAUUCAUUAGGAAUAGCAGAUAGAUCUGUCCUACGACCCAGCAAUUGCACUACUGGGGAUUUACCCCAAAGAUACAAAUGCAGUGAAACGCCGGGACACCUGCACCCUGAUGUUUAUAGCAGCAAUGGCCACAAUAGCCAAACUGUGGAAGGAGCCUCGGUGUCCAUUGAUGGGUGAAUGGAUAAAGAAGAUGUGGUUUAUGUAUACAAUGGAAUAUUACUCAGCCAUUAGAAAUGACAAAUUCCCACCAUUUGCUUCGACGUAGAUGGAGCUGGAGGGUAUUAUGUUGAAUGAAAUAAGUCAAUCGGAGAAGGACCAACAUUAUAUGGUCUCAUUCAUUUGGGGAAUAUAAAUAAUAGUGAAAGGGAAUAUAAGGGAAGGGAGAAGAAAUGGGUAGGAAAUAUCAGAAAGGGAGACAGAACAUGAAGACUGCUAACUCUGGGAAAUGAACUAGGGGUGGUGGAAGGGAAGGAGGGCGGGGGGUGGGGGUGAUUGGGUGGCGGGCACUGAGGGGGGACACUUGACGGGAUGAGCACUGGGUGUUAUUCUGUAUGUUGGCAAAUUGAACACCAUUAAAAAAUAAAUCUAUUAAAAAAAAAAAGAAAAAUGCUUCUCGUCCAGGAACGCUAGCAACACAGAACUAUAACAAAUUUGAAUAUAAACCUACUAUGAAUUUCAUGGAGAAAAUGAAUAUCCAAUUAAUUCCCUUUGCAAGUUAAAGUCCAGUGGCCAAAGGUUGAAAUCCAAAAUGGAAUUCUCUUUUAGGAGUGAAAAGUCCAAAGUCUUCUCCAGUGUCUUCCUCUGUUGAGUCUCAACUAGAGAUGUUGCCAAUAGAGAACUGGGUUUCUUCAACAGUCACCAUGGUAGCUGUGCCUGCCUGGAAUGGGUUUGGUUACUCAGGGUCUCCCACAUUCUCUCUCUCUCUCUCUCUCUCUCUCACACACACACAUACACACACACACACACACACACACACACACACAAACAACUUCUUAAGGAGACCAGAAUUAAUAAGACCUAAGAUUAUCACAGCACGUGCUCAAUCACAGUAGGUUUAGAAAGCAAAUUGCCAUCUUUAAAAAAAAAAAAUUUAAAUUCCAGUUAACAUACAGUGUAAUAUUAGUUUCAGGUAUACAAUUUAGCAAUUCCACAUUUACAUACAACACCCGGUGUUCACCACAGCAAGUGCACACCCUUACUACUCAUCACCUGUUUAACCCUUCUCACCACAUUCCCCCGUGAUAACCAUACAAAUUACCACCUUCUUGAGCAGUUACCUUAGGCCAAUUUGUGUUUUCAGAGCACAUGUCUUUUGCCAAGGAUCAAUAUAGGGACUCCUUGGUAUCUAAGGAUGUCAUCUUAGUGUUAUUUUAGCCAGGAUGUAAAUUGCAGUCAACUGUUCAUAAUCCACAGCUUGAAAAUAAACUGGAACUUUACUCUGAGAGGUCAAUUUUGGCACGGC